ACUGGAAAGGUGGGUGGAACUACACGAGUAGAGGUGAAAUUCGUAGAUAUGUGUAGGAAUGCCGAUGAUGAAGAUAACUCACUGGACAGAAACUGACGCUGAAGUGCGAUAGCUAGGGGAGCAAACAGGAUUAGAUACCCUGGUAGUCCUAGCUGUAAACGAUGAUCACUGGGUGUGGGGAUGCGAAGUCUCUGUGCCGAAGCAAAAGCGAUAAGUGAUCCGCCUGGGGAGUACGUUCGCAAGAAUGAAACUCAAAGGAAUUGACGGGGGCCCGCACAAGUGGUGGAGCAUGUGGUUUAAUUCGACGCAACGCGAGGAACCUUACCAGAUCUUGACAUCCUCGGGAGAGUAUAGAAGUAUACUUGUGCCUUCGGGAACCGAGAGACAGGUGGUGCAUGGCUGUCGACAGCUCGUGUUGUGAGAUGUUGGGUUAAGUCCCGCAACGAGCGAAACACCUAUCAUUACUUGCCAUCAUUAAGUAGGGGACUCUAAUGAAACUGCCUACGAAGAGUAGGAGGAA
rnacentral:rRNA from 1 species